UCUAUGGUCGCGAUCCCAAGGUUCAUUGCGAUCCCAAGGUUCACUGCGGUUUUCCACAAGCCUGUUUCUGCCUAUCACCAUGAGUGAUUCCUUGAUACUCAGAUUGAUAAUCAAGAUCUCAAUUAUAACCUCAAGUCUUGAUGACAGCUUGAUGAUCUCCAAGAAGCACCACCAUGUAAAGAAGGCCAAGACCACUCUGGAAUCAGUCAAGGCUCAUAGGAACUCCAAUCUUCCCAACUGUGAGAGGGCCUUGCUCCAGUGGCUGAUUGGAGUGACCAGACAUGCUACUGUAACUCUCAUGGUCAUGUGCUGGAAUUAGCAGAUAUUCAACAAUUUGGCCAUCUCGCUGACCUGUUGAUUUCAGAAGACUGCAACAGCUCUGCAAAGCAAGUUGCAAAACACAAUCCAUGGAACUGGCAGUGACCGGAAACCAAUUGGAAGACUUUGGUCUGUGAUGUAGAGGAGAGGGCAGGUGAGGAAAUUAUUAUUAAUAUUACAUGUAGUCAUGAAAUAUUGUAAGUGUUACUAUUAUUGUUAUUAUUUUUUUUUUCAGUAGCAGACGCAAAGACAACAAAAAACAGAAGUGAUAUGGAUGUCUUCGUCAUA
ensembl:processed_transcript